UUACGGUCUUAUCACGAUGAACCACCUGUUCCCGUACGAUCACCGAAGUUAAGAAAUAUCGAUCCAAGUCAGUACCUAAAUGGGUGACCACUUGGGAAUACCAGGUGUUGUUA